rnacentral:rRNA from 1 species
CAGCCGCCGCGGUAAUACGGAGGGUGCAAGCGUUAUCCGGAUUCACUGGGUUUAAAGGGUGCGUAGGCGGGCGGGUAAGUCAGUGGUGAAAUCUUCGAGCUUAACUCGGAAACUGCCGUUGAUACUAUCUGUCUUGAAUAACGUUGAGGUGAGCGGAAUAUGUCAUGUAGCGGUGAAAUGCUUAGAUAUGACAUAGAACACCGAUUGCGAAGGCAGCUCACUAAACGCUCAUUGACGCUGAGGCACGAAAGCGUGGGGAUCAAACAGGAUUAGAUACCCCUGUAGUCCCUGUCUCUUAUAC